UACGUAGGGGGCAAGCGUUGUCCGGAAUUAUUGGGCGUAAAGAGCGUGUAGGCGGUCCGGUAAGUCAGCUGUGAAAGUCAAGGGCUCAACCCUUGAAUGCCGGUUGAUACUGUCGGGCUAGAGUCCGGAAGAGGCGAGUGGAAUUCCUGGUGUAGCGGUGGAAUGCGCAGAUAUCAGGAGGAACACCAAUAGCGAAGGCAGCUCGCUGGGACGGUACUGACGCUAAGGCGCGAAAGCGUGGGGAGCGAACAGG
rnacentral:rRNA from 1 species